AAGCUCUAGUUGAAUUUCGGGGUUCUACCGUUGGUCGGGCAAUAGUCUGUACUGGCGUGUAGAAUUUCUACCUUCUGGGGAACUAUCAUGUUAUUUAUUUAGCGUGGUAGGAAACCAGGACCUUUACCUUGAAAAAAUUAGAGUGUUCAAAGCAGGCUUACGUCUGAAUACAUUAGCAUGGAAUAAUAAAAUAGGACGGUGGUCCAGUUUUGUUGGUUUCUGAAUCACCGUAAUGAUUAAUAGGAUAGUUGGG
rnacentral:rRNA from 1 species